AGGAAUUAAUCUGUUGCAUUCUAAAUGAAUGAACGUCCAGUGAGUUCUGAAUGGACGUGAAACAAGUCACAUGACAGAGGAUGCAUCAUCCAGAUUGGUGGCUGUUGCGUAGUGGCAGCCAUGUUGAUUUGUGAUUCACGCAAACAUUCACACAGCGACUCAAAUGACUUGCAGUCUUGACAGACAGGACGGCAAUUCACCCACACACCAUCAACCAAGUGAAUGACUAUCUGAACUCGGCUCGGCUUCAUCGCUCUCAGUGGUGAAGAUGGAUUGCAUUCGUAGAGAUGAAGAGCGGGAGAAAAAAUUUAAAACAUCUGGGGUUUUUAGAGCGAGUCCAUGGGAAAAGAUCUCUCGGCAAGGAAAGACGUUUUAUCAUUUGGAGAAAUGAAUGCACUGCAUGAUCCUCCUCACUCACUGUUUAGGUGAGAAAUGUUCAUUUUUGCAAAGCCAGAAACAUCUUUCUGUGUCGUUGGCAAAUUUAUAGUUUUAACUAACAGCAGGGUUUUCACGGGUCGGUAAAUUUCUGGAACAUCAAGGAAUUUUUAAAAGUUCCAUUCCAAAUACUAUAUGUCAGAAAAUAUUCUAAGUCAUGGAAAAUCUGAAUAUUUUUUGCUUGUCGCUUUACAGUAAAUGUUACUUUCCAUUUAUCAACACACAC